GAUGAACGCUGGCGGCGUGCCUAAUACAUGCAAGUCGAGCGAACAGACGAGGAGCUUGCUCCUCUGACGUUAGCGGCGGACGGGUGAGUAACACGUGGAUAACCUACCUAUAAGACUGGGAUAACUUCGGGAAACCGGAGCUAAUACCGGAUAAUAUAUUGAACCGCAUGGUUCAAUAGUGAAAGACGGUUUUGCUGUCACUUAUAGAUGGAUCCGCGCCGCAUUAGCUAGUUGGUAAGGUAACGGCUUACCAAGGCAACGAUGCGUAGCCGACCUGAGAGGGUGAUCGGCCACACUGGAACUGAGACACGGUCCAGACUCCUACGGGAGGCAGCAGUAGGGAAUCUUCCGCAAUGUGCGAAAGCCUGACGGAGCAACGCCGCGUGAGUGAUGAAGGUCUUCGGAUCGUAAAACUCUGUUAUUAGGGAAGAACAAAUGUGUAAGUAACUAUGCACGUCUUGACGGUACCUAAUCAGAAAGCCACGGCUAACUACGUG
rnacentral:rRNA from 1 species